CACACAGAGACAGUCACACACACACACACAGAGACAGACAGUCACACACACACACACAAGGACAGGCAGUCACACAGACAGUCACACACACACACACACAGACAGUCACAUGCACACAGGCAGGCAGUCACACAGACAGUCACACACACACACACAGACAGUCACACAAACAGGCAAACAGUCACACACACACACUUACCUCUUUCCAGUGGAUGCAGUUGGCUGAUGGGGAAGCAUCUUUCCCUCUUCCUGUACAGCAGG